rnacentral:rRNA from 1 species
UACGUAGGGUGCGAGCGUUAAUCGGAAUUACUGGGCGUAAAGCGUGCGCAGGCGGUAAUGUAAGACAGAUGUGAAAUCCCCGGGCUUAACCUGGGACCUGCAUUUGUGGACUGCAUUGCUGGAGUGCGGCAGAGGGGGAUGGAAUUCCGCGUGUAGCAGUGAAAUGCGUAGAUAUGCGGAGGAACACCGAGUGGCGAAGGCAAUCCCCUGGGCCUGCACUGACGCUCAUGCACGAAGCGUGGGGAGCAAACAGG